ensembl:snRNA U1 U1 spliceosomal RNA
AUAAUUCCCUGAUACAAUGAUCAUGAAGGUGGUUUUCCCAGCGUGAGGCUUAUCCAUUGUACUCCAGAUAUGCUGACCUCUGUGGUUUUCCUAAAUGUGGGAAAGUCGACUGCCUAAUUUGUGGUAGUGGGGGACUUUUCCCUAC